UGGACUCCAGUACUUUCAUGAGCUGUGAAAGCCAGGGUCUGUGUGUGGCACCGAGUUUCCUAGUGUUUCUUCACACAGCCGUCUCUAAAUCCUCACGUGUGGCUGACUGUUCGGACUCCUUGCUCCCCAGGAUGAAGCUGACAACGUCAAUGUGGCCGUUCUGAGAGGCGAGGUGCAGAGCAGAGUGACCUCCUGUGUCCCUAACCAACAAGCUGAGACCACUACUGCAUGAGCUAGACAGCUGAGAGAUAGAAAAGAGGAGUGAAAUGAAGAGGAAGGAAUAAUAAUUAUGACAGAAGAAUACUAAUUGUAUUAGACCUUCUUAUUAAAAAACAAAAAACAAAACAAAAUCAAUAUGCUUGUCAUGGUAGUGACAAAUGGUGCAGAGUUACACUACCCAUCAGCCCCUGCAUGUCACAAUUAUUUUUAUGAGUACUUGAGUAUUUUUUACUUGUACUUGAGUAAAAGUUUUGGCUUCUCUACCCAGCUCUGCACUUAAAUGACUAGAUAACUGGUUUACACAGAACUAACUUUGAGAAAAAAUACUAAAGAAAAAAAGAGCCCUGUCAGUGAAAUAAAAUCUUGAUUAAUCUGAAACAUUA